CUCACCCCAAUACCCCCACAAGGCAGCAUGGCAUACAUCUUCUGGCUGAUGGGGCCUGUAAGGAAAAGGGACAGAGUGACUCUGGAAGGCGUGAGGUCAGUGAACUCAGUCACAGAAAACAAAUCCUCAGAUCAAAGACCAGCUGAGGAUGACAGGGACAUGACCUUCUGGGGAGAGG